UUACCUUAAAUGGAGCGAACCUAGUGAAGUGAAACAUCUCAGUAACUAGAGGAAAAGAAAUCAAACGAGAUUCUCUUAGUAGCGGCGAGCGAAAGGGGAAUAGGGCAAACCGAAUGCUUGCAUUCGGGGUUGAGGACUGCAAUAUCCAUUAAAAUACUCUAAUAGAACAUUCUGGAAAGGAUAGCCAUAGAGGGUGAUAGUCCCGUAUAUGAAAGAGUAUUUUUAGGUAGCAGGAUCCAGAGUAGGUCAGGACACGUGAAAUCCGGGCUGAAGCUGGGGGGACCACCCUCCAACCCUAAAUACUACUACUACACCGAUAGCGAACCAGUACCGUGAGGGAAAGGUGAAAAGAACCGCAGUGAGCGGAGUGAAAUAGAACCUGAAACCAUUUGCCUACAAUCAUUCAGAGCCCUAUGAUUUAUCAGGGUGAUGGACUGCCUUUUGCAUAAUGAUCCUGCGAGUUGUGGUAUCUGGCAAGGUUAAACUAAUGUGAAGCCGUAGCGAAAGCGAGUCUGAAAGGGCGAUUAAGUCAGAUGCUGCAGACCCGAAGCUGAGUGAUCUAUCCAUGGCCAAGUUGAAAGUGGGGUAACACCCACCGGAGGACUGAACUCGUACCCAUUGAAACGGGUUGGGAUGAGCUGUGGAUAGGGGUGAAAGGCCAAUCAAACUCAGUGAUAGCUGGUUCUCUUCGAAAUAUAUUUAGGUAUAGCCUCAAGUGAUAGUAAUAGGGGGUAGAGCUCUGAUUGGGCUAGGGCUGCUCACCGCGGUACCAACCCCUGUCAAACUACGAAUACCUAUUACCGUAUCUUGGGAGUCAGGCGGUGGGUGAUAAAAUCAAUCGUCUAAAGGGGAACAACCCAGACUACCAACUAAGGUCCCAAAGUUCUAUUCUAAGUGGAAAAAGAUGUGAAGUUACUUAGACAACCAGGAGGUUGGCUUAGAAGCAGCCAUCCUUUAAAGAUAGCGUAACAGCUCACUGGUCUAGUGAUUUUGCGCUGAAAAUAUAACGGGGCUAAGAUAGACACCGAAGUUGUAGAUUGUGCUGAUGCACAGUGGUAGAAGAGCGUUCACAUCAGCGUUGAAGCCAUACCGGUAAGGAGUGGUGGAGCGGUGUGAAGUGAGCAUGCAGGAAUGAGUAGCGAUAAAAGUGGUGAGAAUCCACUUCGCCGUAAAUCUAAGGUUUCCUACGCUAUGCUCGUCAUCGUAGGGUUAGUCGGGUCCUAAGACAAGUCCGAAAGGGGUAGUCGAUGGAAAAUUGGUUAAUAUUCCAAUACCAACAUUAGUGUGCGAUGGAGGGACGCAUAGGGUCAAGACAAGCUAGCCGAUAGAAAUGCUAGCCGAAGGGUGCAAGUUAGGAGAUUGGCAAAUCCGCUCCCGUAUCCCAAACCCAACAGGCUUUCUGAAGUCUUCGGAUGGAUGAGAGAAUUGUUAAGAUCGUCGUGCCAAGAAAAGCUUCUAAGUUUAGCUAAUGUUGCCCGUACCGCAAACCGACACAGGUAGAUGAGAUGAGUAUUCUAAGGCGCGUGAAAGAACUCUCUUUAAGGAACUCUGCAAACUAACACCGUAAGUUCGCGAUAAGGUGUGCCUAAGUAAUUAGGUCUCAGCAAAGAGUCCCUCCCGACUGUUUACCAAAAACACAGCACUUUGCAACUCGUAAGAGGAAGUAUAAGGUGUGACGCCUGCCCGGUGCUCGAAGGUUAAGAGGAUUAGUCAGCCGCAAGGCGAAGCUUUGAAUUGAAGCCCGAGUAAACGGCGGCCGUAACUAUAACGGUCCUAAGGUAGCGAAAUUCCUUGUCGGUUAAAUACCGACCUGCAUGAAUGGCGUAACGAGAUGGGAGCUGUCUCAAAGAGUGAUUCAGUGAAAUUGUAGUGGAGGUGAAAAUUCCUCCUACCCGCGGCAAGACGGAAAGACCCCGUGGACCUUUACUACAGCUUGGCACUGCCGAUGGGAGCAUUAUGCGCAGCAUAGGUGGGAGGCUAUGAAAUCUUUACUCUGGUAGAGAUGGAGCCAUCGUUGAGAUACCACCCUUAAUGUUUCUGUCUGCUAACUAGCUAGAGUUAUCCUCUAGUAGGACAAUGCCUGGUGGGUAGUUUGACUGGGGCGGUCGCCUCCUAAAAAGUAACGGAGGCUUGCAAAGGUUGGCUCAAAAUGGUUGGAAAUCAUUUGUAGAGUGUAAUGGCAUAAGCCAGCCUGACUGUAAGACAAACAAGUCAAGCAGAGACGAAAGUCGGUCAUAGUGAUCCGGUGAUUCUGUGUGGAAGGGUCAUCGCUCAAAGGAUAAAAGGUACCCCGGGGAUAACAGGCUGAUCUCCCCCAAGAGCUCACAUCGACGGGGAGGUUUGGCACCUCGAUGUCGGCUCAUCGCAUCCUGGGGCUGGAGCAGGUCCCAAGGGUAUGGCUGUUCGCCAUUUAAAGCGGUACGCGAGCUGGGUUCAGAACGUCGUGAGACAGUUCGGUCCCUAUCUGCCGUGGGCGUAGGAUUGUUGAGGAGAUCUGUCCCUAGUACGAGAGGACCGGGAUGGACAUACCACUGGUGUAGCUGUUGUCCUGCUAUGGGCAUCGCAGCGUAGCUACGUAKGAU
rnacentral:rRNA from 1 species